rnacentral:rRNA from 1 species
CACGUAGGGGGCAAGCGUUGUCCGGAAUUACUGGGCGUAAAGAGCGCGUAGGUGGAUAUUUAAGUCAGGUGUGAAAGGCCAGGGCCUAACCCUGGGAUUGCACUUGAAACUGAAUAGCUUGAGGGCAGGAGAGGUAAGUGGAAUUCCCAGUGUAGCGGUGAAAUGCGUAGAUAUUGGGAGGAACACCAGUGGCGAAAGCGACUUACUGGCCUGGUUCUGACACUGAGGCGCAAAAGCGUGGGGAGCGAACAGGAUUAGAUACC